GGAGGCGUGGCUCAAGCAGUAGAGUACCUGCCUAGCAAGUAGGAGGCCCAGAGUUCAACCCACAGCACUACCA
rnacentral:tRNA from 1 species